UGGCUCAGAACGAACGCUGGCGGCGUGCUUAACACAUGCAAGUCGAACGCGAAAGGGACUUCGGUCCUGAGUAAAGUGGCGCACGGGUGAGUAACGCGUAGAUAACCUGUCUUCAUGUCUGGAAUAAUACGCCGAAAGGGGUACUAAUACCGGAUAUUCUUGCUUUUCAUAAGUUAUGCAAGCAAAGGUGGCCUCUGCAUAUGCUACUGCAUGAAGAGGGGUCUGCGUACCAUUAGCUAGUAGGUGGGGUAAUGGCCUACCUAGGCGACGAUGGUUAGCGGGUCUGAGAGGAUGAUCCGCCACACUGGCACUGGAACACGGGCCAGACUCCUACGGGAGGCAGCAGUGAGGAAUAUUGCGCAAUGGGGAAACCCUGACGCAGCGACGCCGCGUGAGUGAGGAAGGCCUUCGGGUCGUAAAGCUCUGUCAAGAGGAAAGAAGUGUACAAUGGCUAAUACCUGUUGUAUUUGACGGUACCUCUAAAGGAAGCACCGGCUAACUCCGUGCCAGCAGCGGC
rnacentral:rRNA from 1 species